rnacentral:rRNA from 1 species
AUGGUCUUUAAUCCUCCUGUGUUUAACACAAUAAGCCGCGCAAUUAAGCUCACCCGUUCCGAAAAAACCCACCGCACGCACGCACGAACCCCCACACGACGACCUUUCCCACACCCCGCACCUCCUCCUCCCAACGACCAGAGCAUGGUCGGGCCUUCGCCGCCGCCCGCCGCCCGCCCAUCCACGGCCAAGCCUCCGCCGCCGUUCCACGGCCAAGCCUCCGCCGCCGUUUGCCGCCUCCACGGCCGGGCCUCUGCCGCCUUCCGCCGCCCGCCCAUCCUCGCCCUCCUCCGCCGCCGCUCCACGGCCGGGCUUCCAUCCUACGCCGCCGCCCGCCCAUCCUCUGCCGCCUCCAGCCGGUCCUCUUCUCCGCCGCCGCGAGCGUGA